rnacentral:rRNA from 1 species
AGAGUUUGAUCAUGGCUCAGAUUGAACGCUGGCGGCAUGCCUUACACAUGCAAGUCGAACGGCAGCACGGGGGCAACCCUGGUGGCGAGUGGCGAACGGGUGAGUAAUACAUCGGAACGUGUCCUGGAGUGGGGGAUAGCCCGGCGAAAGCCGGAUUAAUACCGCAUACGAUCUCUGGAUGAAAGCGGGGGACCGAAAGGCCUCGCGCUCAAGGGGCGGCCGAUGGCAGAUUAGCUAGUUGGUGGGGUAAAGGCCUACCAAGGCGACGAUCUGUAGCUGGUCUGAGAGGACGACCAGCCACACUGGGACUGAGACACGGCCCAGACUCCUACGGGAGGCAGCAGUGGGGAAUUUUGGACAAUGGGGGCAACCCUGAUCCAGCAAUGCCGCGUGUGUGAAGAAGGCCUUCGGGUUGUAAAGCACUUUUGUCCGGAAAGAAAACCGCUUCUCUAAUACAGAGGUGGGAUGACGGUACCGGAAGAAUAAGCACCGGCUAACUACGUGCCAGCAGCCGCGGUAAUACGUAGGGUGCGAGCGUUAAUCGGAAUUACUGGGCGUAAAGCGUGCGCAGGCGGUUCGCUAAGACCGAUGUGAAAUCCCCGGGCUUAACCUGGGAACUGCAUUGGUGACUGGCGGGCUAGAGUAUGGCAGAGGGGGGUAGAAUUCCACGUAGCAGUGAAAUGCGUAGAGAUGUGGAGGAAUACCGAUGGCGAAGGCAGCCCCCUGGGCCAAUACUGACGCUCAUGCACGAAAGCGUGGGGAGCAAACAGGAUUAGAUACCCUAGUAGUCC